CCUACGGGUGGCAGCAGUGAGGAAUAUUGGUCAAUGGGCGAGAGCCUGAACCAGCCAAGUCGCGUGAGGGAGUACUGCCCUAUGGGUUGUAAACCUCUUUUGUCGGGGAGCAAAAGCCGGACGUGUCCGGCUGUGAGAGUACCCGAAGAAAAAGCAUUGGCUAACUCCGUGCCAGCAGCCGCGGUAAUACGGAGGAUGCGAGCGUUAUCCGGAUUUAUUGGGUUUAAAGGGUGCGCAGGCGGAUUUUUAAGUCAGCGGUAAAAUCGUGGGGCUCAACCCCAUCCAGCCGUUGAAACUGGGGAUCUAGAGUGUGCGAGAGGUAUGCGGAAUGCGUGGUGUAGCGGUGAAAUGCAUAGAUAUCACGCAGAACCCCGAUUGCGAAGGCAGCAUACCGGUGCACAACUGACGCUCAGGCACGAAAGCGUGGGUAUCGAACAGGAUUAGAUACCCUUGUAGUC
rnacentral:rRNA from 1 species